rnacentral:lncRNA from 1 species
CUGCAGACCAUCGUGGCCCUUUGCAGUGUUCGGAAACAUAUGCGCACCCCAGGGAGGGACACACACACACACACACACACACACACACACACACACACACACGCAAACUCACAAACACAACACACAGACAGAAAAUGACAAAUAAACACACACACUCACACACACACACACAGGAGCCCACAGAAAAAAGCAAAUAGACGCAGAAACGGGCACGUGCAGUAGUUCUGGCCACACAUGUUCCCUAGGUAUCCACAGAAUGGCAUGGGUAUUGUAUAUUCAUAAAGAUGGAGAUCAGUCAUGGAGGCCAAGGACAAGUAGGUGCACUGGUUGAACUACAGUAGAGAAUGGCAUGGAAGUGGUGAGCAAUGGACCUGGGCCUGUUUCUCAAGUGUGUAUUUGAUUUCUUUACAAUUCCCCGGAGAAGUUGUCAUGGGAGGCCAGCCGCCUGCUGGCAAGGAAGAUGGUUGAUUCUUCUGAUCAAUGGAGGCCCUGCAGAGUCCUGUAGUCACUGUGGCCUGGCAUCCAUGGUGCACCCAAUGCUGGUGGAUGGCUUAGGACGAGGCAGUUGCUGUGGGAGGUGUGGUAACUGCUGGAAGGAAGAUGCUCAAUUCUUCUGAGCAACGAAGGCCACACGGAGUCCUGGAUUCUGUGUGGCCUGGCAUCCAUGGCGCACUGUGUGCUGGCAGGUGGCUCAGGACGUGGAUGACAAGUUGGCCAGCAGAGGUGUCAGAGGGCAGGUUCCAGGGAAUACAAGGGUCAGACUUGUGCUCCU